rnacentral:misc_RNA from 1 species
GUUCCCCCUGGGUUUGAAUGCGGUCAUUCUUUGAAUCUUUUGAAAAAGGAAUCAUCUCUCAUCCCUAGGAUUGAAUGGAAGUGCCCUCCAAAACUUGUUAUGUGUCACAACUGGCAUGUCGCAGCUGGUGAAGAAAGCCGGGAGGCAGAGGCUCAAAAACUGAAAAUGGAAGUGCUUGAAGCAGUUUUUCUGCGCCCUUCUGCAAUUCCUCAUAGUCCCUCAAUUUCAUUGGCCAUAGAAGGGGAAUAUUAUGAUGAUAGCCACACUCCCAUCAUCCCUCUCACUCCUAUUGAAGAAGAGGCAGUGGCAGACUUACCAUCUGAUUUAUCUUCACCUUUGAACACUUCUGUAAACUCCCAGCCAUCAGCAUUGCCUCAGGAUUUGCUGCUGUCUGGAAUCCUAAAUCUUGCAGAAUAUAACAACCUUGCUCAAGAGCCACCAGCCAGUGAAAAACCAAUAGUUGGAAUAUCACCUGAUAUGGACGCUGAUGUAGUUACAGCUGCCUCUGCUGCAGCAACUGCUCUGAUGAAAAGCCUGGAGAAGGGAAGCUUGAUCGAUACUGAUUUGCUAGUUAAAAUCUUAAGUGACCCAAAAAUGAUUGAGAAACUGAUCAAUAACUGUCAAGCACCUAGCAUUGUGACCAGUGCAACCAUGAUUACAUCAAAGCCAGUAAAUAGAACAAUACUCCCAUCACGCCUUAAUCCUGCUAUGACUUCGGCUUUAACGCCUGCAGAAGGAAACUGGCAUAAUCUACGUGGUGGGUUGCAACCCACAUCGAAGCCUCCCCCAUCCUGCCUGAAAUCUACCAUACCUACAGCGCCAAUCCCUCCCAAUGGAUGUUUGCACUCUGCACUUGAUGAGAUGCUACCACCAGUCACUAGGAUGCCAGCACAACCGGACACUGAUCCAACAUCUAGAUCAAAGCAGGUUGCUCCAACUAUCACUUUAUCCAGGCCAGAAUCCAUCAACGUGUCGGCAACUAGGCCGAGGGUAGCAAACUUGUAUUCUUCAACUAACCAGGUGCAGUCUACAGUGAGUACCGUGAAACCCAAUCCUGUACCCAAUGUGGUACUUCCUUCUUUAGGCAUGAUGGCUCUUCAGCCGAAUGGUGCUCCGCAAACUAAAGUAGUGGCCAUGAAAACCAAUCCUAUAAAGGAUUUCAACUACAUUAAGAACCUUAUUAGGGAACAUGGAUCGGAAAAGAAGGAAAUGCAUGAGCGAAAUAUGUUACAUACUGGCCUUCAUCAUGAGCACUUUCAAAACCUGGAAUUUGCACAAAAUAUGAAUCAGAGAGAAACGAUACCCAGGUUUCAGAAGCCGUGCAUAUUCUAUAGAAGCUCAAGGGGAUGCCGGAAUGGCUCUAAUUGCCCUUACCAGCAUGAUUUGUCAUUCCAGUUUCAAACUGGUGGCUCAAUGGAGGCCCCUGGUGCUAAGAGAAUGAAAUUGGGUGGGGAGAUUACAGGAUGAACGUAACCAAUUGUGGUUCACUUGGACUUGGCCUGAGGUGUAAAUAGUAGGGGGCUUUUGAACACCGUUUUGGUAUAGGUUUUGCACACGAACGGAGAAAGGGAGAGAAUUGAUAUUUCUGAAUUUUGAAAUUCUUUUAAAUUUUUAAACCCAACUCAAAGUAGUUUAAGGCAAAACUGUGGUUUAGAUUUGGAAUUUUGAAUUCCAAAUGCUUCCUUAUUUGAUUUUUCUAAUGUCAAUUGAAUAGCAGGG